GUCUUUUUGAGUUAUUUUUAAAGUCUGACCUGCCCACUGAAUAUUUUUAGAUGGCCGCAGUAUUCUAACUGUGCAAAGGUAGCAUAAUCAUUAGUCUUUUAAUUGAAGGCUGGUAUGAACGGUUGGACGAAGUAUAAGCUGUUUCAUAUAAAAUUAUAUUAGAAUUUUAUAUUUUAGUUAAAAAGCUAAAAUAUUAUUAAAAGACGAGAAGACCCUAUAANUCUUUAUAUUUAAUAUUAUUCAAAUUUUUUUGAUUAAUUUUAUUUUUAUAAUAUUAAAUAUUUUGUUGGGGUGAUAUUAAAAUUUAACAAACUUUUAAUUUUGAAUUAGAACAUUAAUUUAUGAAUAGUUGAUCCAUUAUUAAUGAUUAUAAGAUUAAGUUACUUUAGGGAUAACAGCGUAAUUUUUUUUGAGAGUUCAUAUCGACAAAAAAGUUUGCGACCUCGAUGUUGGAUUAAGAUAUAUAUUUAGGUGUAGCCGUUUAAAUAUUAAGUCUGUUCGACUUUUAAAUUCUUACAUGAUCUGAGUUCAA
rnacentral:rRNA from 1 species